rnacentral:rRNA from 1 species
GACGAACGCUGGCGGCGUGCUUAACACAUGCAAGUCGAACGGAAAGGCCCUGCUUUUGUGGGGUGCUCGAGUUGCGAACGGGUGAGUAACACGUGAGUAACCUGCCCUUGACUUUGGGAUAACUUCAGGAAACUGGGGCUAAUACCGGAUAGGAGCUCCUGCUGCAUGGUGGGGGUUGGUAAGUUUCGGCGGUUGGGGAUGGACUCGCGGCUUAUCAGCUUGUUGGGGGGGUAGUGGCUUACCAAGGCUUUGACGGGUAGCCGGCCUGAGAGGGUGACCGGCCACAUUGGGACUGAGAUGAGGCACAGACUCCUACGGGAGGCAGCAGUGGGGAAGAUUGCACAAUGGGCGGAAGCCUGAUGCAGCAAAGCCGCGUGCGGGAUGACGGCCUUCGGGUUGUAAACCGCUUUCGCCUGUGACGAAGCGUGAGUGACGGUAAUGGGUAAAGAAGCACCGGCUAACUACGUG